rnacentral:rRNA from 1 species
GAUGAACGCUGGCGGCGUGCUUAACACAUGCAAGUCGAACGAUGAACCGGGUGCUUGCACUCGGGGAUUAGUGGCGAACGGGUGAGUAACACGUGAGCAACCUGACCCUGACUCGGGGAUAAGCGCUGGAAACGGCGUCUAAUACUGGAUAUGUCCCGUCACCGCAUGGUGUGCGGGUGGAACGAUCUUGCGGUUGGGGAUGGGCUCGCGGCCUACCAGCUUGUUGGUGAGGUAAUGGCUCACCAAGGCGUCGACGGGUAGCCGGCCUGAGAGGGUGACCGGCCACACUGGGACUGGGACACGGCCCAGACUCCGACGGGCGGCAGCAGUGGGGAAUAUUGCACAAUGGGCGGAAGCCUGAUGCAGCAACGCCGCGUGAGGGAUGACGGCCUUCGGGUUGUAAACCUCUUUUAGCAGGGAAGAAGCGAGAGUGACGGUACCUGCAGAAAAAGCACCGGCUAACUACGUGCCAGCAGCCGCCGUAA